UACGUAGGGUGCAAGCGUUAAUCGGAAUUACUGGGCGUAAAGCGUGCGCAGGCGGUUUUGUAAGUCUGACGUGAAAUCCCCGGGCUCAACCUGGGAACUGCAUUGGUGACUGCAUUGCUGGAGUAUGGCAGAGGGGGGGUGGAAUUCCACGUGUAGCAGUGAAAUGCGUAGAGAUGUGGAGGAACACCGAUGGCGAAGGCAGCCCCCUGGGCCAAUACUGACGCCUCAUGCACGAAAGCGUGGGGAGC
rnacentral:rRNA from 1 species